rnacentral:rRNA from 1 species
GUCUAGCCUGCCCAAUGAGGAAUUGAAUGGCCGCAGUAUUUUGACUGUGCAAAGGUAGCAUAAUCMUUAGUUUUUUAAUUGAAAGCUGGAAUGAAAGGUUGGAMAAGAAAAUAACUGUCUCUUUAUAAAUUUAAUAGAAUUUUAUUUUUAAGUUAAAAAGCUUAAAUAUAUUUAAAAGACGAGAAGACCCUUUAGAGUUUUAUAGAUUUUAUUAUUAUUUUUUUUUAGAUUUUUAAUAAAUUAAUUAUAAUAUUUAUUUUGUUGGGGUGAUGGAAAAAUUUUAUAAACUUUUUUUUUAUAAAAUCAUUUAUUUAUGAAUUAUUGAUCCUUUAAUAAAGAUUAAAAGAUUAAAUUACCUUAGGGAUWACAGCGUAAUUUUUUUGAAGAGUUCUAAUCGAUAAAAAASUUUKCGACCUCGAUGUUGGAUUAAAAUUAAAUUUUGGUGUAGAAGCUAGAAUUUUUAG